rfam:Podiceps cristatus contig12316, whole genome shotgun sequence.
GGGGAUGUAGCUCAGUGGGAGAGCACUUGCUUUGCAUGUAAGAGGCCCUGGUUUCAACCCCCAGCAUCUCCA